CGCCGAUUCUCCUUCCCCGAUCUCCCCUCUGCUCACACGCUCUCUUUCUGUCGUGGACAGAUCUGCGGCGAUCGUCAUCUUCGCCAGAGGAGCUCGUCGCCGGAACCUUGCCAGAGGUCGAACAAGGAGGCGGAUCCUCCUGAUCUCCUGUUAUCAUGUCUUCCCCGAGCCUUUUUUCGAUUCUGCUGACGCUUUCUUUCUUGAACAACGCCACUGGUCGAGCGAGAUCCACUCGAUCGUCGACGUGAAGGGUCAAUUAGGGUUUCAAGGGUCUUGGCAGACGCUGGCUAGUUGAGGGUCAGUAGGUUCGGUACGUUGCAUCUUUGAUCGGAUUGGGCGACACCUUCUAGAGGUAACCGAUUGUGUGAUAUUCCUUCUUGAUAUCAUUUUGAUCUGUUUCGUGGGAAGAAUUCCAGCAAGGUGAUGUUCUGUGGAUUGAUUGGUUCCAGCAUCAACAGUAGGUUGGUCCGUUCUGUGGGGUAUUCUUGUUUUGGCAGGAUCUCCUUCCAGCAGUUGAGAAUCAAGGACUCUGAUUCAAGACGGGCGUCUUGACUUGGAUUGUUUGAUUGUACAUUCUAUUUGAGGCGGG